rnacentral:rRNA from 1 species
UAGGGAAUCUUCCACAAUGGACGAAAGUCUGAUGGGGCAACGCCGCGUGAGUGAAGAAGGGUUUCGGCUCGUAAAACUCUGUUGUUAAAGAAGAACAUAUCUGAGAGUAACUGUUCAGGUAUUGACGGUAUUUAACCAGAAAGCCACGGCUAACUACGUGCAG